rnacentral:rRNA from 1 species
AGGCAGCAGUGGGGGAAUAUUGCACAAUAGGGCGCAAGCCUGAUGCAGCCAUGCCGCGUGUGUGAAGAAGGCCUUCGGGGUUGUAAAGCACUUUCAGUCGUGAGGAAGGUAGUGUAGUUAAUAGCUGCAUUAUUUGACGUUAGCGACAGAAGAAGCACCGGCUAACUCCGUGCCAGCAGCCGCGGUAAUACGGAGGGUGCGAGCGUUAAUCGGAAUUACUGGGCGUAAAGCGCAUGCAGGUGGUUUGUUAAGUCAGAUGUGAAAGCCCGGGGCUCAACCUCGGAAUAGCAUUUGAAACUGGCAGACUAGAGUACUGUAGAGGGGGGUAGGAAUUUCAGGUGUAGCGGUGAAAUGCGUAGAGAUCUGAAGGAAUACCGGUGGCGAAGGCGGCCCCCUGGACAGAUACUGACACUCAGAUGCGAAAGCGUGGGGAGCAAACAGGAUUAGAUACCCCUGGUAG